UUGUUUGAUAACAAAGAUCUGAAAUCAAUUUACAAUUAUAUAUUGCCCCAAAAAAUGUUACAGUCAUACAAUUAGUAUAGUAUUUUAUCAUAUGACUACAAAACACAACAAACACUAUAUAAACUUAAUUAUAAUUCAAUAAAAAAGAAAAAUCAUCAACAAACAUGAGAUGGAAUCAUACAAUCAUUUGAAGUGCCAUCAUCAAAGUUAAGACAAUAGCUUUGAAGAUCAUAGCUAUACUGUGGAGUCCUCCUUUUCCACACAAGAGAUUGUUUCCAGCAAUUCUUCACCUUAUAAAAUAGUUUUCUAACCAAACACUCAAGUGUCACCUUUCUUUCAACAUUAUUACCAAGUGUCACCGAAGAGGUAACUCUCGUUUUCCUUUGAAGCUUCAUCAAUUGGUUUCCUUGAAAGUUAUGAAAAAAUCUUGGGAGUUUCAUUGUUUUGCUAUAACAAAUGAAACAUCAUGAAAAAGGUGAGUUUUUUCAAGUGUGUACAACACAAUGAGGCAUCAAAUAUUUAAUGGCACUUUCUGAUCUGUGGUGAAUAAAGAAGAAAAAAAAAACAUUAUCAUGAAUAGUUUUACUUUUGCUACCUUUGCACAAUAAUGAUGGACCCAGUUUGAUGAAAGGAUUGAAGAUGUUCUCUAGUGAUGUAACAUCAAUGGGUUGCGUUUAACUUCAAUCACCUUUUUUGAAGACAACUAUUGAGUUUUGGUUUAUACAUCAUUGUGAUUUGCUUGUGUGUUACACAAAGGUUUGCCAAAGUUUGAUUCCUAGUAUUCUUCUUACUAAAAUGAGGUCUAUUAUUACAACAUAGUAAUAAAGGUACACGCUAUUCAUACGUAAACAGAUAAGAAUUCACUGUCUUUUUCUUCGAAAAGUACAUGAAUUUUAACUUGUAAUGUAGAAGUUUUUGUGUUUAAAUUAAUACAAUUCACUAUAUCAUUGGAGAAUUUUUAGAAUCAAAAGUUGUUAGGAGUAACUAAUGGAGAAAAAAUAAAUGGAGUUUGUUAUGAUUGGUUGGGAAAUGCUAUCAGAUAGACAGCUUACCAUAAAACAUUGAUGGACAAGGCUACAAACUAACGAAACGAAUCUCUUUACCUUUGACUGUUGUAGAUGCUACUACCAAGUUGAGGAUGUUGAUGUUAAAUUGAAAGGGAGAAAAACCAAUCAAUUAUGUCGUAUUAAAAACAAAGCUUGCCAAUAUUUGCUUCCAUUCAGUUGCAGAAAAUAAACAAGAGGUAUAUAACAUUUCUUUAAAUCCUACGUAUGCCAACAAGAGUUGUGUGGUAAUGAGUGAAAACUGCAAAAGUAAGAACAACAAAGAUUGUUUUGGACAGAACUGGAUUUCAGCACUGAAGAUCCAGUUCCACGCACAAUAUCCAUUUGAGGAUGGUCAGCACAUGAUCUUGAUUAGAGUUUCUCUGGCAUGGAUCCAAUAUGUACGCCAAUUCAUAGAAGAGACAAAAUGCUUGCAGGUGAGUUCUUGCCAGUACACCGAUUCAUAGUAGAGAGUAUGCUAACACCAAUUCUGCAAACCUCAGUCACAACCCCGCAUUUUGUUUACUAAAGGAGAUCCACUUCGAGUUAGAGUUCAAAGACUAGUACAAUGAUCUAUAGGCUUAUUUGUUCUAACCACUUUUUUUACAAUUUGAUGCACAAUAUAAUGCCUCAAAUUCGCCUUUAAUGUGGAUAUUAUACACCAGGAGCUCCAUAUCUUCUAUAAAUAAACCAAGUUCCGGUCUUAUUCAUCCAGCAUGGUUUGUCAAGGUUUGUUUAUAAUACAUUACAUUAUACGUAAUUAGCAAAUAGUAAAGCUAGUUGAUACAUACUGUUUUCUAAAAGAUGAAAAACUCUUAUUCUCAACCAAAUACAGAGAUUUCAGUUUUGUAUCUUAAAACACA